UGUCUCCUUUUUCCAACCAGUAAAACUAAUCUUCCCGUGAAGAAGCGGGAAUAUAAAUAUAAGACGAGAAGACCCCAUGGAGCUUAAAACCCAACUACACCCAGAAUUUUAUACCCACACCAACCGCUAGNCCUUGAAUAGUUGGUUUUAGGUUGGGGCGACCACGGAGUACAAUAAAACCUCCACAAUGAAUGGGACCACCCCCUAAUCUAAGAGCUACCCCUCUAAGAAUUAAAAUAUUAACAUAAAGUGAUCCAUCUCUUGAUCAAUGAACCAAGUUACCCUGGGGAUAACAGCGCAAUCCAUUUCGAGAGCCCAUAUCGACAAAUGGGUUUACGACCUCGAUGUUGGAUCAGGGUAUCACAGUGGUGCAGCAGCUACUAAUUGUUCGUUUGUUCAACGAUUAAAACNGU
rnacentral:rRNA from 1 species